CCUACGGGUUGCACCAGUGGGGAAUAUUGGACAAUGGACGCAAGUCUGAACCAGCCAUGCCGCGUGGAGGAUGAAGGUCCUCUGGACUGUAAACUUCUUUUAUCGGAGAAGAAACCCAUACUUUCUAGUGUGGUUGACGGUACCCGAUGAAUAAGCACCGGCUAACUCCGUGCCAGCAGCCGCGGUAAUACGGAGGGUGCAAGCGUUAUCCGGAUUCACUGGGUUUAAAGGGUGCGUAGGUGGGUUGGUAAGUCAGUGGUGAAAUCUCUGAGCUUAACUCGGAAACUGCCGUUGAUACUAUCAAUCUUGAAUCUCGUGGAGGUAAGCGGAAUAUGUCAUGUAGCGGUGAAAUGCUUAGAUAUGACAUAGAACACCGAUAGCGAAGGCAGCUUGCUACACGAGUAUUGACACUGAGGCACGAAAGCGUGGGGAUCAAACAGGAUUAGAUACCCUGGUAGUC
rnacentral:rRNA from 1 species